AGGUUGGUAACUCAAUGGAUCCAAGAUCGUGGUUCCACACCAUGAAGUUGAGGGUUCAAAUCCCUUCUAGCCCA
rnacentral:tRNA from 1 species